GCGGCUGCAGGGGUGGCUGGAACCACCGAGAGGCCUCAGCUGGAGUCAAAAAUUUGCGGGGGGGGGGGGCGCGUUUCCCCCCAAAGGCAUAGUCGACAAUCAAGUCCUUCGAGUCCUUUGAUUUCACUCAACAAGAAGAAACCGCUGGGGUAGUUCACGGACUUUCUCAAUAAAACCAACCGGAAGGGCGAGGGUAGACCUCCACCCAGCGAGGUCCCCAGGCCCGCGCGAACCGUCAAGAAAAGUCCAAGUACGCUCCGGAAAAGGAAACGAAGUGUUUUCAAGCCCACCACAGCUUGCGCGCCGGACACCCUAAAUGAGUACGGGGGAGAAGCGGAAUUUCGAAGCAGACCCCAAUAUACGCGGUCCAAGAGGUGGGCAGACCUAGGGGGAGACGAUGGCACUCAUACCACCCCGGUUUGGUGUGAGAGACCACGGGCGUCAGGGAUGACCUCCUUCCUGACGGCACAGCUGAGCUUAGCAGGACGUGUGACCAGGUGUACAAGGAAGGACAUGGUCAAGAGAGCGCCUGAGGAGCCAAUGCUGUGCCUCAGUAUCGUCUACACCGCCCCUCAUUAAUACAUGCACGGGGUACUCAGCAGAAAGCUGUGACGGAGAUCCGUCACAACAAAGUAGAUGAAAAAGAGCCUUGGGACACCUGGAGGCACGGUCAAGCGUCGGACUCUUGAUCUCCGCUCAGGUCAUGAUCUCACGGAUUGUGGGAUCGGGCCCCGCA